GUCCAUGGUAGCCUAGUGGUCAUGGCAUCUGCUCGGUAAGCGGAAGGUCGUGGGUUCGAUUCCCAUCCCUUGACA
rnacentral:tRNA from 1 species